rnacentral:rRNA from 1 species
GGGUUGUGAGGUUAAGCGACUAAGCGUACACGGUGGAUGCCCUGGCAGUCAGAGGCGAUGAAGGACGUGCUAAUCUGCGAUAAGCGUCGGUAAGGUGAUAUGAACCGUUAUAACCGGCGAUUUCCGAAUGGGGAAACCCAGUGUGAUUCGUCACACUAUCAUUAACUGAAUCCAUAGGUUAAUGAGGCGAACCGGGGGAACUGAAACAUCUAAGUACCCCGAGGAAAAGAAAUCAACCGAGAUUCCCCCAGUAGCGGCGAGCGAACGGGGAGCAGCCCAGAGCCUGAAUCAGUGUGUGUGUUAGUGGAAGCGUCUGGAAAGGCGCGCGAUACAGGGUGACAGCCCCGUACACAAAAAUGCACAUGCUGUGAGCUCGAUGAGUAGGGCGGGACACGUGGUAUCCUGUCUGAAUAUGGGGGGACCAUCCUCCAAGGCUAAAUACUCCUGACUGACCGAUAGUGAACCAGUACCGUGAGGGAAAGGCGAAAAGAACCCCGGCGAGGGGAGUGAAAAAGAACCUGAAACCGUGUACGUACAAGCAGUGGGAGCACGCUUAGGCGUGUGACUGCGUACCUUUUGUAUAAUGGGUCAGCGACUUAUAUUCUGUAGCAAGGUUAACCGAAUAGGGGAGCCGAAGGGAAACCGAGUCUUAACUGGGCGUUAAGUUGCAGGGUAUAGACCCGAAACCCGGUGAUCUAGCCAUGGGCAGGUUGAAGGUUGGGUAACACUAACUGGAGGACCGAACCGACUAAUGUUGAAAAAUUAGCGGAUGACUUGUGGCUGGGGGUGAAAGGCCAAUCAAACCGGGAGAUAGCUGGUUCUCCCCGAAAGCUAUUUAGGUAGCGCCUCGUGAAUUCAUCUCCGGGGGUAGAGCACUGUUUCGGCAAGGGGGUCAUCCCGACUUACCAACCCGAUGCAAACUGCGAAUACCGGAGAAUGUUAUCACGGGAGACACACGGCGGGUGCUAACGUCCGUCGUGAAGAGGGAAACAACCCAGACCGCCAGCUAAGGUCCCAAAGUCAUGGUUAAGUGGGAAACGAUGUGGGAAGGCCCAGACAGCCAGGAUGUUGGCUUAGAAGCAGCCAUCAUUUAAAGAAAGCGUAAUAGCUCACUGGUCGAGUCGGCCUGCGCGGAAGAUGUAACGGGGCUAAACCAUGCACCGAAGCUGCGGCAGCGACACUGUGUGUUGUUGGGUAGGGGAGCGUUCUGUAAGCCUGCGAAGGUGUGCUGUGAGGCAUGCUGGAGGUAUCAGAAGUGCGAAUGCUGACAUAAGUAACGAUAAAGCGGGUGAAAAGCCCGCUCGCCGGAAGACCAAGGGUUCCUGUCCAACGUUAAUCGGGGCAGGGUGAGUCGACCCCUAAGGCGAGGCCGAAAGGCGUAGUCGAUGGGAAACAGGUUAAUAUUCCUGUACUUGGUGUUACUGCGAAGGGGGGACGGAGAAGGCUAUGUUGGCCGGGCGACGGUUGUCCCGGUUUAAGCGUGUAGGCUGGUUUUCCAGGCAAAUCCGGAAAAUCAAGGCUGAGGCGUGAUGACGAGGCACUACGGUGCUGAAGCAACAAAUGCCCUGCUUCCAGGAAAAGCCUCUAAGCAUCAGGUAACAUCAAAUCGUACCCCAAACCGACACAGGUGGUCAGGUAGAGAAUACCAAGGCGCUUGAGAGAACUCGGGUGAAGGAACUAGGCAAAAUGGUGCCGUAACUUCGGGAGAAGGCACGCUGAUAUGUAGGUGAAGUCCCUCGCGGAUGGAGCUGAAAUCAGUCGAAGAUACCAGCUGGCUGCAACUGUUUAUUAAAAACACAGCACUGUGCAAACACGAAAGUGGACGUAUACGGUGUGACGCCUGCCCGGUGCCGGAAGGUUAAUUGAUGGGGUCAGCGCAAGCGAAGCUCUUGAUCGAAGCCCCGGUAAACGGCGGCCGUAACUAUAACGGUCCUAAGGUAGCGAAAUUCCUUGUCGGGUAAGUUCCGACCUGCACGAAUGGCGUAAUGAUGGCCAGGCUGUCUCCACCCGAGACUCAGUGAAAUUGAACUCGCUGUGAAGAUGCAGUGUACCCGCGGCAAGACGGAAAGACCCCGUGAACCUUUACUAUAGCUUGACACUGAACAUUGAGCCUUGAUGUGUAGGAUAGGUGGGAGGCUUUGAAGUGUGGACGCCAGUCUGCAUGGAGCCGACCUUGAAAUACCACCCUUUAAUGUUUGAUGUUCUAACGUUGACCCGUGAUCCGGGUUGCGGACAGUGUCUGGUGGGUAGUUUGACUGGGGCGGUCUCCUCCUAAAGAGUAACGGAGGAGCACGAAGGUUGGCUAAUCCUGGUCGGACAUCAGGAGGUUAGUGCAAUGGCAUAAGCCAGCUUGACUGCGAGCGUGACGGCGCGAGCAGGUGCGAAAGCAGGUCAUAGUGAUCCGGUGGUUCUGAAUGGAAGGGCCAUCGCUCAACGGAUAAAAGGUACUCCGGGGAUAACAGGCUGAUACCGCCCAAGAGUUCAUAUCGACGGCGGUGUUUGGCACCUCGAUGUCGGCUCAUCACAUCCUGGGGCUGAAGUAGGUCCCAAGGGUAUGGCUGUUCGCCAUUUAAAGUGGUACGCGAGCUGGGUUUAGAACGUCGUGAGACAGUUCGGUCCCUAUCUGCCGUGGGCGCUGGAGAACUGAGGGGGGCUGCUCCUAGUACGAGAGGACCGGAGUGGACGCAUCACUGGUGUUCGGGUUGUCAUGCCAAUGGCACUGCCCGGUAGCUAAAUGCGGAAGAGAUAAGUGCUGAAAGCAUCUAAGCACGAAACUUGCCCCGAGAUGAGUUCUCCCUGACUCCUUGAGAGUCCUGAAGGAACGUUGAAGACGACGACGUUGAUAGGCCGGGUGUGUAAGCGCAGCGAUGCGUUGAGCUAACCGGUACUAAUGAACCGUGAGGCUUAACCUUACAACGCCGAAGGUGUUU